rnacentral:antisense_RNA from 1 species
AAUAAGCAUUUAAAGUGCGUUGGCAGAGUGCAGAGCGGACACAAUCCUGUUUAUCAAAGCGAAUGAUGCCAAUCAUGUCAUCUUCAGCAAAACGCUCCAAUGCAUCGCUAAGACCGGAUUUCACACCGCGCGGUAGAUCGCAUUGGGUAAUAUCGCCAUUCACGAUAACGGUGACAUUCUCACCGAGGCGGGUC